rnacentral:lncRNA from 1 species
CAAUUAUUCUACAAUAGAACACUGGAGAGAAAGAGAUGCAGGUGGGGAGGAAGGAGGCAGGAAUAAUGGGAAUAGGUGGAAGAGAAGGCGGAAGAUGUAUUUAUCCGGAUACAAUCAAAGAACCAUUUCAGAGGAAAAAGGAGAAUGGUGAGGCUAUAAUGACAAAGCAGCCAUCUGCACACCAGGAAGGGGCACUCACCAGACAUCAGAGCUGCCGGCACCUUCACCUUGGACAUCCCAGCCUCCAGAACUGUAAAAAAUAAAUGUUUGUUGUUUAAGCCACC